UGUUCUGUGACUUGGUUGGUCAAAGCGCCGGUCUUGCGAAUACGGAGUUGUGGGUUCAAAUCUCACCAGAACGU
rnacentral:tRNA from 1 species